ensembl:lncRNA
UUUUUUUUUUUGAGACAGUGCGGCUCUGAUGCCCAGGCUGGAGUGCAAUGGCACGAUCUCAGCUCUCAGCUCACUGCAACUUCCGCCUCCCAGGUUCAAGCAAUUCUCCUGCCUCAGCCUCCCAAGUGGCUGGGAUUACAGACGCCUGUCACCACACCCGGCUAAUUUUUUGUAUUUUAAAUAGAGACAGGGUUUUGACGUGUUGGCCAGACUGGGAAAUCAGCACUUUAAACAAAUUUGCACCAAAAGUUGGAGCUAAACAUAUGGUAAUGACUGGCAUUGUUAAAGGGAGCAAUUUGGUUAUUGGGCUGUUAUAUAAUGGCUGUUAAAGGGAACAGCCAUUGCUUCCAAGUUCCCAUGGAUGCUCCUAAAUAUUCAAUUUUGUCUGCCUGGGUAAUGAUUUUCUUGUUCCAAGAAAAUGCUAUUAAAUAUGUAUUCGUAAUUUGAUUGAUGCAAAAAUAACAUUCUUCUUUUCGAUACAAACAUGUUCCUCACUGUCCGGCUGUGAGAAGGUCUAAGGCUCUUCGGUUUUGUAGGACUGCCAGGGAGUCCAGCUGUUGCUGAAGUCUGGUGAGGCUCUCUGCUGUUUGUCAGAGGGCCACUGUGGUCUCCUGAGACAGUUUAUGCUGGAUUCCCAAGGCUCUGUCCCUGUGGCUGGCUCUGCUAGUCCCAAUAGAAAGGAUAGCACUAACCCCAAGGGAACAAGGAAUCCUGCUCAGAGGUGGAUCUUGUGAUGUUGGUACAUGGGGAAAGGGAGAGAUGUGUUAGCCAAUGCAAAAGGUAGAUAAGGGGAAAUGUAAACGAUGGGACAUCGUCCCUUCAUUGUGGAGGGAGUUGUAGAUGUGCUGAAGAUCCACAAAUACAAACAAAUUUUUUUUUUUUUUUAGACAGAGUCUCACUCUGUCACCAGGCUGGAGCACAGUGGUGCGAUCUCAGCUCACUGCAACCUCCGGCUCCCUGGUUCAAGCGAUUCUCCUGCCUCAGCCUCCCAAGUAGCUGGGACUACAGGCACAUGCCACCAUGUCCACUAAUUUUUGUAUUUUUAGUAGAGAUGGGAUUUCACCAUGUUGGCCAGGAUUGUCUCAAUCUCCUCACCUCAUGAUCCACCCGCCUCAGCCUCUCAAAGUGCUGGGAUUACAGGCGUGAGCCACGCGCCCGGCCCUAUUGUUGCAUUUAUAAAAAGCAUGGACACUGGAGCUAAAUAAGUAACAAAGGCCUUCAGGCUUGCAAACCCUCUGGAGCCUGUCAUCAAUGUGACAAAGAAGGGCAAUGGAAGAAGGACUGUCUCCAACUCUGAAGGGAGGAGGGAUUCCUAAUUCCUUAUUGUCCCUGGCUAAAGACUAAAGAGGCCAAAGGCAAACAACAGCUCCUAUGUGGCCAUCAGUCCCAGUCACAGCAAUGGAGCUUCGGGUGACCCUGGACAUGACAGGCAAAAAUAUCAAUAUCCUUUUAAAGACAGAGGCUGGCCUGUCAGUUCUCACUUUCUGCCCUGGGUCUCUGUCUACGAAACACGUCACUGUCAUUGGUGUUAAUAACAAAUUCCAAACUAGGAUUUUCACUCUACCACGCAGCUGACCAACUUCUGCUGCAGUAAAACUUAGGGGUGUAGGCCUUUGGUGUGUU